UACGUAGGUGGCAAGCGUUGUCCGGAUUUACUGGGCGUAAAGAGCGCGCAGGCGGUCGUUCAAGUCGCGUGUGAAAGCCCCCGGCUCAACUGGGGAGGGUCACGCGAUACUGAUCGACUCGAAGGCAGGAGAGGGGAGUGGAAUUCCCGGUGUAGUGGUGAAAUGCGUAGAUAUCGGGAGGAACACCAGUGGCGAAGGCGACUCCCUGGCCUGUUCUUGACGCUGAGGCGCGAAAGCUAGGGGAGCAAACGGG
rnacentral:rRNA from 1 species